CGUCUCGAACACUCGCAACCCAAUAAGGACUAAAGAAUAUUAUCGAUUUGAUGUUACAUAUCGAUUGAGAUCUUCUGUAUCGAUCAAACAAUAGUUUAGUCGAAAAAGUGGCACCAUACAGUAAAACAAAAUCUGGAUGAAUUACGAAUGACUUGAUAAAUUAACCGAUAAGUCAUACAAUUAGAAAGCCGUGAUACAAAUGGAUUAAAGUCAAUAUUCAGUACUAGUAGGUCAUUGACAAAAAUGGUCCAGUUUGAUUUUGACGUACCAAUACGUUAUUGGCGGAUUUGAUCAGUUCGAAUUUCACGUACCAAUAAAUAUUAGUUGUAUUUAAAAGUAUAUGAUAUCUAACUGGCCAUCUACAAAAGAAGGUUAUGAUGUAUUAUUUGAUAUACCUGUCUGAGUUCAAAUAUACUGAACAAGAAUGGAAAAAGAUAAGAAUCGACGAGGAUAAUUUUUGUUACGAAUCCUUCAAUUCGUUCCAAAUAUCGGAUUGUUACCAGCGUAAAAUUCGGUCAUUAAAAAUCGUUAUUUUUUUGAUAAUUUCAAGGGAGGAUGAUAGAUAUUGGACAAUAUUUGCAUAGCCUAUAAAAUAUUUGCCAAACUAUUAAGUUGUUGACAUAUGUGGAUUUUAUUACUCUUUUGUAGACCACUUAGUCAGUUCACGCGACACUGCCGCGGAUGGGUUAAUUUGUCAACUGUCAAAUUUAAUACGAAAGACAAGGAGUGAUGCGACGCGGUAUUUUUGUGCUUACGUUGUCUUCGUCUUUUAUAAGUUAAAUUUAACAAAUUCAAGUCAAGAUAUCUGCCACGCUAAUGUCUUUUCGUUAUAAAUAGAUUAAUAUCUCUUUUGCAGAAAAUGUCCAGUUGGUCCGACUAAUGUCAUAAAAAAUAUACGGUGUCAUUUAAAAGAUU